UACAGAGGGUGCGAGCGUUAAUCGGAAUUACUGGGCGUAAAGCGUGCGUAGACGGUAGCGUAAGUCAGAUGUGAAAGCCCCGGGCUCAACCUGGGAAUUGCAUUUGAGACUGCUCUGCUCGGGUGCGGAAGAGGGAAGCGGAAUUUCCGGUGUAGCGGUGAAAUGCGUAGAUAUCGGAAGGAACACCAGUGGCGAAAGCGGCUUCCUGGGCUGACACUGACGCUGAACUGCGAAAGCUAGGGGAGCGAACGGG
rnacentral:rRNA from 1 species